rnacentral:rRNA from 1 species
GACGAACGCUGGCGGCGUGCCUAAUACAUGCAAGUCGAGCGAGUCUGCCUUGAAGAUCGGAGUGCUUGCACUCUGUGAAACAAGAUACAGGCUAGCGGCGGACGGGUGAGUAACAGGUGUGUAACCUGCCCAAGAGAUCGGGAUAACACCAGGAAACAGAGGCGCAUACCGGAUAACAACAAGUGAUGCCUAUCAACUGUUUAAAAGAUGGUUCUGCUAUCACUCUUGGAGGAACCUGCGAGGCAGGAGCUAGUUGGUAGGGUAACGGCCUACGAAGGCGAUGAUGCAUAUCCGAGUUGUGAGACGGGUCGGCCGCCUUGGAACUGAGACACGGCCCAAACUCCUAAGGGAGGCCCCAGUCGGGAAUCUUACACAGUGGACGGAAGUCUGAUGGAGCAGCCCCGCGCGAGUGACGAAGGGUUCCCGCUCGUAAAGCUCUGUUGUUGGUGAAGAACCACAGUGGUAGUAACUGAACUUUGUUUGACGGUAAUCAAUUAGAAAGCACCGGCUAACUACGUG